GCAACGUCCUCGGACCUCCGAGACGGAUGGAUAUUAAAACGCACCACUAGUACUGAAGGGAAAUUCAAAUUGAGCGGAAGUACUUAGGCGGGCGGAGCCAGGCUAGCAAAGUUGUGCAUUACAAUGCAAACCCGACAAUAAUUGGCACCGUUCUUCUCAGAAGAACAUGAACUGAAUAAAUGCCAGGUAUAUAGCAUAUCGGAGACGGGCACACAAUCAGUGCAUUUGUAAAUGAGAGCCUGCAGUAUGACCGAUCUUGUGACAUUAUUUAACCAUCCAUCUACCGGAAGGGGCGUGACUUCGCCACUCUAUCUGACUGCUGCAGGCGGACCAGGAAAUACUUUAAACCUGUCCUUUAUGUUUGCUGACACAUUGUGCAGGUAACCGAUAGGUUGUUUUAGUUAUAUGUAUGUUUAUAAUCCCACUUGUGGCGUUGCUAGCAUUCACAACCUAGAAUGUCUAGCCGGUCCCGCCAUUUUUGUGUUGUACAUGCAAUACCGCCGGUCGCCACAUGAGGGGAGGGAUCACCUGUUUAGCGCGACUCUGUUUUAAAUAUAUAUUGUUUGUUUGUGUUAUAUAACACAUUAUAGAGCAGAAAAGACGGUAUCUGCUGCAGGCGGACCAGGAAAUGCUUUAAACCUGUCCUUUAUGUUUGCUGACCCAUUGUGCAGGCAAUAAAACCGCUGCACCCAAUGCUGAGCGUCCGAGUCAAUGCUUGAAGGAAACAAAACACAACGCAGGUUACAGCCCAGUGAAGGCUUCAGCCACCACUCGAUCUCCUCGUCCUCCUCCACGCCUUCCGACGUGCGCCAGAUGCCGUCACCACGGGCACAUCGUCCGGCUUAAAGGCCAUGCAAAGACGUGUCCGUUCACGGCCGACGAGUUGAUGGAAGCCCGUCGAGGGAGCAAGGUGCCUGCUCGGGACAGGCCUGUGGAGGAAACGACGGGAGUGUUGAACUUGAGCACGACGAUCGAAAGAAGAGAGGGGUUUCUGGUCGCGCACCCAACGGCCCUUUACCCCAACUACCUGGCCGACAUGCCGGCCAUGUGGACCAUCCCUCACACCCAUUACCACAGUUUGGCCUUCCCGAUCUGUCCACCAAUGUGUUCUCCACCGCCACCCCUUCUCGACCCAAGGAUCUUCUUCGGGCUGGUUCCUCCUGGGCCCUAUCAACCUUUUCCAAUGCCUACACCCCCUCCCUUCUUCAGACCUCCUUCACCACCAGCUAAUCACUGAUUUUGAGCCAAUCGAAAAUCUAUUGUUUUUGUAAGUUUUCUUUGUUUAAUGUAUCAGUUACAUCUAAGGUUAUCUGUAACGGUUUCAAAUAUAUAAAUAAGUUCCAUAUCAAGUUUUUUAUAAAUGUUUUAAAUGCUUCUGAAAUUAAACUUUUUUUGAAUGUCCG
ensembl:lncRNA